CCCAGUCCCACCAUCUGUAGGCCGCGUCUAUCCACCAUGGGCUCCCGAUCUCCAAAACGCUAGGGAAGAGUAUCAGGCUUGUCACCAGGUCACCCCUGAAGUAGGUAGCGCAUCCCGGUUUGCUUUUUGUCGCGAGUUCGGCGAGUGUCUGUAGGAAAUCUGCAAGUAAAGCGGGAGUCCAGCUUUCAUGCGACUGCUCAGCUUGCUGGCUUGGCCCCGCCCCCUGAAUACAAUUUUAAAUCAGAUAUUGCCUAUUCAUUUACACGGUUAUUUUAU